rnacentral:rRNA from 1 species
GUAGGUGGCAAGCGUUGUCCGGAAUUAUUGGGCGUAAAGCGCGCGCAGGCGGUCCUUUAAGUCUGAUGUGAAAGCCCACGGCUCAACCGUGGAGGGUCAUUGGAAACUGGGGGACUUGAGUACAGAAGAGGAAAGCGGAAUUCCAAGUGUAGCGGUGAAAUGCGUAGAGAUUUGGAGGAACACCAGUGGCGAAGGCGGCUUUCUGGUCUGUAACUGACGCUGAGGCGCGAAAGCGUGGGGAGCAAACAGGAUUAGAUACCCUGGUAGUCCACGCCGUAAACGAUGAGUGCUAAGUGUUAGGGGGUUCCCGCCCCCCUUAGUGCUGCAGCUAACGCGUUAAGCACUCCGCCUGGGGGAGUACGGCCGCAAGGCUG